rnacentral:rRNA from 1 species
UAGCUUGAUCCUGGCUCAGGACGAACGCUGGCGGCGUGCUUAACACAUGCAAGUCGAGCGAGGUCCAUCCGGUGGCAACACCGGGGAAGACCUAGCGGCGAACGGGUGAGUAACACGUGAGCAACCUGCCCCGAAGACCGGGAUAACACCGGGAAACCGGUGCUAAUACCGGAUGUCCUCCUCUGGUCGCAUGGCCUAAGGAGGAAAGGAACCUUGCUUCGGGAGGGGCUCGCGGGCUAUCAGCUUGUUGGUGAGGUAACGGCUCACCAAGGCGACGACGGCUAGCUGGUCUGAGAGGACGACCAGCCACACUGGGACUGAGACACGGCCCAGACUCCUACGGGAGGCAGCAGUGGGGAAUCUUGCGCAAUGGGCGAAAGCCUGACGCAGCAACGCCGCGUGGGGGAUGAAGGCCCUUGGGUUGUAAACCCCUUUCAGCAGGGACGAAUCUGACGGUACCUGCAGAAGAAGCCCCGGCCAACUACGUGCCAGCAGCCGCGGUAAUACGUAGGGGGCGAGCGUUGUCCGGAUUUAUUGGGCGUAAAGAGCUCGUACGCGGCUUGGCAAGUCGGGUGUGAAACCUCCAGGCUCAACCUGGAGACGCCACUCGAUACUGCCAUGGCUAGAGUCCGGUAGGGGACCACGGAAUUCCUGGUGUAGCGGUGAAAUG